GAUGAACGCUGGCGGCGUGCUUAACACAUGCAAGUCGAACGGUGAACGAGGGAGCUUGCUCCCUCCGGCUCAGUGGCGAACGGGUGAGUAACACGUGAGCAAGCUGCCCUGGACUCUGGGAUAAGCGUUGGAAACGACGUCUAAUACCGGAUACGCGACGCGAAGGCAUCUUCAGCGUCUGGAAAGCACUUCGGUCCAGGAUGAGCUCGCGGCCUAUCAGGUAGUUGGUGGGGUAACGGCGCACGCAGCCUACGACGGGCGGCCGGCCUGAGAGGGUGACCGGCCAAGCUGGGACUGAGACACGGCCCAGACUCCUACGGGAGGCAGCAGUGGGGAAUAUUGUACACUGGGCGCAAGCCUGAUGCAGCAACGCCGCGUGAGGGACGACGGCCUUCGGGUUGUAAUCCUCUGUUAGCAGGGAAGAAGCGAAAGUGACGGUACCUGCAGAAAAAGCACCGGCUAACUACGUGCCAGCCGCCGCCGUAACAC
rnacentral:rRNA from 1 species